GCGAGAGUGGCGGAAUCCGGCAGACGCACUGGACUUAGGAUCCAGCGGCCCCGGGCCGUGGGGGUUCGAGUCCCCCCUCUCGCACCC
rnacentral:tRNA from 1 species